rnacentral:sRNA from 1 species
ACAACCCACGACCUCCUGGCUCCGUGCCCCUCCAGGGCCCUGAGUUCUGAACCGGAGGCUGAUCUUCGGUGUCCUGAAACCAUGGCUCCAUUACAAACUGUCCGCAGUGUCCCCAACCGCAGAAGCGGGAGGGCCCUGGCCCGGGGCGCACAGGAGGGCUCAGCCCCGCCGACCCUGACCCGGCCCCUCCCGCAGCACAAGAUCUGCACGCCGCUGACCCUGGAGAUGUACUACACGGAGAUGGACCCCGAGCGCCACCGCAGCAUCCUGGCGGCCAUCGGGGCCUACCCGCUGAGCCGCAAGCACGGCACGGAGACGCCGGCGGUCUGGGGGGACGGCUACCGCGCAGCCAAGGAAGAACGCAAGGGGCCCACCCAGGCUGGGGCGGCGACGGCCACCGAACCCCCCGGGAAGCCGUCGGCCAAGGCGGAGAAGGAGGCGGCGCGGAAGGCGGCCGGGAGCGCGGCGCCCCCGCUCGCGCAGUGACGGUCUCCGGCCCCGCAGCCCGGCCCGGGCGUCCCCCGCCAGCUCCUGUGACCAGCGCGUCGCCCGAUGCUCUCCGCCUUGUUCGUGUCCCCAGGCGCCCUCGCUGCAGCCCCGCCCGCGUGGGUCUCUGACUCUGUCGCUUUUCUCUAAGUAAAGAUUUCACGUCCA